AGUGAACGCUGGCGGUAGGCCUAACACAUGCAGGUCGAACGGCAGCACAGUAAGAGCUUGCUCUUACGGGUGGCGAGUGGCGGACGGGUGAGGAAUACAUCGGAAUCUACUUUUUCGUGGGGGAUAACGUAGGGAAACUUACGCUAAUACCGCAUACGACCUACGGGUGAAAGCAGGGGAUCUUCGGACCUUGCGCGAUUGAAUGAGCCGAUGUCGGAUUAGCUAGUUGGCGGUGUAAAGGCCCACCAAGGCGACGAUCCGUAGCUGGUCUGAGAGGAUGAUCAGCCACACUGGAACUGAGACACGGUCCAGACUCCUACGGGAGGCAGCAGUGGGGAAUAUUGGACAAUGGGCGCAAGCCUGAUCCAGCCAUACCGCGUGGGUGAAGAAGGCCUUCGGGUUGUAAAGCCCUUUUGUUGGGAAAGAAAAGCAGCAGGUUAAUACCCCGCUGUUCUGACGGUACCCAAAGAAUAAGCACCGGCUAACUUCGUG
rnacentral:rRNA from 1 species